rnacentral:rRNA from 1 species
AUACGGAGGGUGCAAGCGUUGUCCGGAUUUAUUGGGUUUAAAGGGUGCGUAGGCGGAUAAAUAAGUCAGUGGUGAAAUACUUCAGCUCAACUGGAGAGGUGCCAUAGAAACUGUAUAUCUUGAGUGAAGUCGAAGUAGGCGGAAUUGAUGGUGUAGCGGUGAAAUGCAUAGAUAUCAUCAAGAACACCGAUAGCGAAGGCAGCUUACUUGGUUUCAACUGACGCUGAUGCACGAAAGCGUGGGGAGCGAACAGGAUUAGAUACCCCGGUAGUCC